rnacentral:rRNA from 1 species
UACCUGCAGCUCGAGUGGUAACCGCUAUUAUUGGGCCUAAAGCGUCCGUAGCCGGUUUGGUAAAUAUCUGGGUAAAUCGUGAGGCUUAACUUCACGAAUUUCGGAUAGACUGCCAGACUUGGGAUCGGGGGAGGUCAGAGGUACUCCAGGGGUAGCGGUGAAAUGUUGUAAUCCUUGGAGGACCACCGGUAGCGAAGGCGUCUGACUAGAACGAGUCCGACGGUGAGGGACGAAGCCCUGGGGCGCAAACCGGAUUAGAUACCCGGGUAGUCCAGGGUGUAAACGAUGUGGGCUUUGUAUUGGAGGUCCCACGUGGGCGUCCAGUGCAGAAGAGAAGUUGUUAAGCCCACCGCCUGGGAAGUACGGUCGCAAGGCUGAAACUUAAAGGAAUUGGCGGGGGAGCACAACAACGGGAGGAGCGUGCGGUUU